AUAUAUAUCAACCUCUUGCUUGUUGAGUGGUUUGGAUGUGGGGGGUUUGCUGGCCUUCUUUUAAAAGGUCAGCUCCUCUGAAAUGCAUUAGCAGAACGACCCUGUUCAUUGGUGUGAUAAACUAUCUACGCUAUUGAAUGAUGAAGGCAAGUUCAGCUUUCUAACAGUCUUUGGACAAUUUUAUCAUUU
rnacentral:misc_RNA from 1 species